AGCAGCCGCGGUAAUUCCAGCUCCAAUAGCGUAUAUUAAAGUUGUUGCAGUUAAAAAGCUCGUAGUUGAAUUUCGGGGUCAGUAGGCUGGUCGUGCCACAGGUACGUACUGGUCUCACUGAUUCCUCCUUCCUGAUGAACCGUGAUGCCUAUUAAUUUGGUGUUGCGGGGAAACUGGACUGUUACUUUGAAAAAAUUAGAGUGUUUAAAGCAGGCUAACGCUUGAAUACAUUAGCAUGGAAUAAUGAAAUAGGACGUUCGAUCCUAUUUUGUUGGUUUCUAGGAUUGACGUAAUGAUUAAUAGGGAUAGUUGGGGGCAUUAGUAUUCAAUUGUCAGAGGUGAAAUUCUUGGGGAUUUAGGAAGACUAACUACUGCGAAGCCUUUUGCCAAGGAUGUUUCCAUAAUCAAGAACGAAAGUUAGGGGAUCGAAGACGAUCAGAUACCGUCGUAGUCUUAACCAUAAACUAUGCCGACUAGGAUCGGAUGAUGU
rnacentral:rRNA from 1 species